rnacentral:rRNA from 1 species
CUCCUACGGGAGGCAGCAGUGGGGAAUUUUGGACAAUGGGCGAAAGCCUGAUCCAGCAAUGCCGCGUGCAGGAUGAAGGCCUUCGGGUUGUAAACUGCUUUUGUACGGAACGAAAAGCUUCGGGUUAAUACCCAGGAGCCAUGACGGUACCGUAAGAAUAAGCACCGGCUAACUACGUGCCAGCAGCCGCGGUAAUACGUAGGGUGCAAGCGUUAAUCGGAAUUACUGGGCGUAAAGCGUGCGCAGGCGGUUUUGUAAGACAGAGGUGAAAUCCCCGGGCUCAACCUGGGAACUGCCUUUGUGACUGCAAGGCUAGAGUACGGCAGAGGGGGAUGGAAUUCCGCGUGUAGCAGUGAAAUGCGUAGAUAUGCGGAGGAACACCGAUGGCGAAGGCAAUCCCCUGGGCCUGUACUGACGCUCAUGCACGAAAGCGUGGGGAGCAAACAGGAUUAGAUACCCUGGUAGUCCACUCCCUAAACGAUGUCAA